UACGUAGGGUGCGAGCGUUGUCCGGAAUUACUGGGCGUAAAGAGCUCGUAGGUGGUUUGUCGCGUUGUUCGUUGAAAUCUCACGGCUUAACUGUGAGCGUGCGGGCGAUACGGGCAGACUUGAGUACUGCAGGGGAGACUGGAAUUCCUGGUGUAGCGGUGGAAUGCGCAGAUAUCAGGAGGAACACCGGUGGCGAAGGCGGGUCUCUGGGCCGUAACUGACGCUGAGGAGCGAAAGCGUGGGGAGCGAACAGG
rnacentral:rRNA from 1 species